GAUGAGCGCUCGCUGUGUGCCUAAUACAUGCAUGUUGAACGGGAUGUAGCAAUACAUUCAGUAGCGAAUGGGUGAGUAACACGUACCUAACCUACCUUUAAGACUGGGAUAACUAUUGGAAACAAUAGCUAAUACCGGAUAUAGUUGUUUAUCGCAUGAUGAGUAAUAGAAAGGAGCUUCACAGCUUCACUUAAAAAUGGGGGUGCGGAACAUUAGUUAGUUGGUAGGGUAAUGGCCUACCAAGACGAUGAUGUUUAGCCGGGCCGAGAGGCUGUACGGCCACACUGGGACUGAGAUACGGCCCAGACUCCUACGGGAGGCAGCAGUAAGGAAUUUUCCACAAUGAGCGAAAGCUUGAUGGAGCGACACAGCGUGCAGGAUGAAGUUCUUCGGAAUGUAAACUGCCGUUAUAAGGGAAGAAAAAAUAGAAUAGGAAAUGAUUUUAUCUUGACGGUACCUUAUUAGAAAGCGACGGCAAACUAUGUGCCAGCAGCUGCGGUAAUACAUAGGUCGCAAGCGUUAUCCGGAAUUAUUGGGCGUAAAGCGUCCGUAGGUUUUUUGCUAAGUCUGGAGUUAAAUGCUGAAGCUCAACUUCAGUCCGCUUUGGAUACUGGCAAAAUAGAAUUAUAAAGAGGUUAGCGGAAUUCCUAGUGAAGCGGUGGAAUGCGUAGAUAUUAGGAAGAACACCAAUAGGCGAAGGCAGCUAACUGGUUAUAUAUUGACACUAAGGGACGAAAGCGUGGGGAGCAAACAGG
rnacentral:rRNA from 1 species